rnacentral:ribozyme from 2 species
GGAGCAACUCCGCCAGGGCCACCUGCCGGUCCCAAGUCCCGGAUAAAGGAGGAGGGUUGC